UACGGGGGUGGCGAGCGUUACUCGGAUUUAUUGGGUGUAAAGGGCAGGUAGGCGGGUUGAAAAGUCCUAUUUGAAAUCCUUCAGCUCAACUGAAGAACUGGGUAGGAAACUUUCGACCUAGAGGCUGGAAGAGGAGAGCGGAAUUCCCGGUGUAAGGGUGAAAUCUGUAGAUAUCGGGAGGAACAUCAGUGGCGAAGGCGGCUCUCUGGUCUAGCUCUGACGCUGAGCUGCGAAAGCUCGGGGAGCAAACAGG
rnacentral:rRNA from 1 species